rnacentral:rRNA from 1 species
UACGAGGGGGGCGAGCGUUGUUCGGAAUUAUUGGGCGUAAAGGGUGCGUAGGCGGUUUGGUAAGUCUUAUGUGAAAUCUAUAGGCUCAACUUGUAGUCUGCAUGAGAAACUGCCGGGCUUGAGUAUGGGAGAGGUGAGUGGAAUUCCUGGUGUAGCGGUGAAAUGCGUAGAUAUCAGGAGGAACACCUGUGGCGAAAGCGGCUCACUGGACCAUAACUGACGCUGAUGCACGAAAGCUAGGGGAGCAAACAGG